UACAGAGGGGGCAAGCGUUGUUCGGAAUUACUGGGCGUAAAGGGCGCGUAGGCGGCCUGCUAAGUCGAACGUGAAAUCCCCGGGCUCAACCCGGGAACUGCGUCCGAUACUGGCAGGCUUGAAUUCGGGAGAGGGAUGCGGAAUUCCAGGUGUAGCGGUGAAAUGCGUAGAUAUCGGAAGGAACGCCGGUGGCGAAAGCGGCGUGCUGGACCGCUUCUGACGCUGAGGCGCGAAAGCCAGGGGAGCAAACGGG
rnacentral:rRNA from 1 species